rnacentral:rRNA from 1 species
UACGAAGGGGGCUAGCGUUGCUCGGAAUCACUGGGCGUAAAGGGCGCGUAGGCGGCCUGAUAAGUCGGGGGUGAAAGCCUGUGGCUCAACCACAGAAUUGCCUUCGAUACUGUUAGGCUUGAGACCGGAAGAGGUGAGUGGAACUGCGAGUGUAGAGGUGAAAUUCGUAGAUAUUAGGAAGAACACCAGUGGCGAAGGCGGCUCACUGGCUCGGUACUGACGCUGAGGCGCGAAAGCGUGGGGAGCAAACAGG